UGGGGAAUAUUGCACAAUGGAGGGAACUCUGAUGCAGCGACGCCGCGUGAACGAAGAAGGCUUUCGUGUCGUAAAGUUCUGUUAUAGGGGAAGAUAAUGACGGUACCAUAAGAAAAAGCCCCGGCUAACUACGUGCCAGCAGCCGCGGUAAUACGUAGGGGGCUAGCGUUGUCCGGAAUCACUGGGCGUAAAGGGUUCGCAGGCGGAAAUGCAAGCCAGGUGUAAAAGGCAGUAGCUUAACUACUGUAAGCAUUUGAAACUGCAUAUCUUGAGAAGAGUAGAGGUAAGUGGAAUUUUUAGUGUAGCGGUGAAAUGCGUAGAUAUUAAAAAGAAUACCGGUGGCGAAGGCGACUUACUGGGCUCAUUCUGACGCUGAGGAACGAAAGCGUGGGUAGCAAACAGG
rnacentral:rRNA from 1 species